rnacentral:tRNA from 1 species
AGGCUUAUAGUUUAAUUGGUUAGAGCAUACCGCUCAUAACGGUAUAGUUGUAGGUUCAAGUCCUACUAAGCCUAAUUA